GCUGGCGGCGUGGAUAAGACAUGCAAGUCGAACGAGACUUUUCGUUGUAGCAAUACGAUGGAAAGUUUAGUGGCGAACGGGUGCUUAACACGUGGGCAACCUGCCAUGAAGUGGGGGAUAGCUCGCCGAAAGGCGAAUUAAUACCGCAUAUGAUUAGAGAGGACAUCCUUUCGAAAUUAAAGUCGGGGCAACCUGACGCUUCUUGUGGGGCCCGCGGCCUAUCAGCUAGUUGGUGAGGUAACGGCUCACCAAGGCUUUGACGGGUAGCUGGUCUGAGAGGACGACCAGCCACACUGGGACUGAGACACGGCCCAGACACCUACGGGUGGCAGCAGUCGAGAAUUUUUGACAAUGGGGGAAACCCUGAUCGAGCGACGCCGCGUGGAGGAUGAAGGUCUUCGGAUUGUAAACUCCUGUCAUUGGGGAACAAGGUGCAUACGUUAACUGCGUGUGCAUUGAUAGUACCCGAAGAGGAAGAGACGGCUAACUCUGUGCCAGCAGCCGCGGUAAUACAGAGGUCUCAAGCGUUGUUCG
rnacentral:rRNA from 1 species